rnacentral:rRNA from 1 species
UACGUAGGGGGCAAGCGUUGUCCGGAUUUAUUGGGCGUAAAGAGCUCGUAGGCGGCUUGUCACGUCGGGUGUGAAAGCCCGGGGCUUAACCCCGGGUCUGCAUUCGAUACGGGCUAGCUAGAGUGUGGUAGGGGAGAUCGGAAUUCCUGGUGUAGCGGUGAAAUGCGCAGAUAUCAGGAGGAACACCGGUGGCGAAGGCGGAUCUCUGGGCAUUACCUGACGCUGAGGAGCGAAAGUGUGGGGAGCGAACAGG